rnacentral:lncRNA from 1 species
CAGUGAGGUAGCUCAAGGCGCCGAUGCCCCUUCGCCGCUUUCAUUCUUCUGUUUCUCUCUUUCUUUCUGGUUUUCUUCCCUUUUUCUUCCUUUCCAAAAAAAAAAAAAAAAAAAAAAAAAGGGUCCUGGUCUCCAGAGAGCUCUAAUGUGAAGAGUCCUGGGAUGCUGGAAAGGCUGGACCUAAGGUUAGGAGUGAGGAAGAGGAUGGUGCGGGGGCCGGGAAGAGGCGCAGUGCGAACACAUCAGGGGAGCAAAUGUUACCUAAGCCUGGGACUGCACACAGGAAGGACGGGGCUGGACGUUCUCACAAGUCUCCGCUCGCUCGCCUGGAGGACAUCUGAGGGAUUCAAAUGAAGAACUAAGUCUAAGGGUGAACCGGCCAAGCUAUGGAAGGCACCAAAUCUUGAACUUAACAGCACUGAGCCAGGGAUGGUGGACCUCUCCCUUGGGAACCAGUUUGGUACGAACGACAAAUCUAUCUCAUACUGCGAUGUGGGAGGAAAUACAGAUUGUACUAGAAAAGCCUCCUGAAUAAAGGAAGUGCAAAUUAGGUCGUCAGUGAUGAACAGCGACUUAAAGCUACAGUUUAGCUAUUUUCAUCGGCAUCUUCCCACCCACUCCCAAUAUUCUAGUUAUGUACACAAUUUGCCUCAAAGACAGACAGACACACAGACAUAUAGACAUACACAGACACACACGUACAUGUACACAGACACACAUAGACACACAGACACGUACACAGACACACACAGACAUGCACACAUAUAUACACACACAUGCAUACACAUACAGACACAUAGACUUGAACACAUACACACACAUCUCACACACACAUGCACACAUACACACACACACACUCAUAUACAUACACAGACACACACAUACACACACACACACACACACACACACACAUACAUACACAGACACAGACAUACACACACACACAUACAUACACAGACACACACACACAUAUGUUGUACCCAUAUACACAUAGAUACACAGACACACACACACACUCAUAUACAUACACAGACACAC